rnacentral:rRNA from 1 species
GAUGAACGCUGGCGGCGUGCCUAAUACAUGCAAGUCGAGCGAACGGACGAGAAGCUUGCUUCUCUGAUGUUAGCGGCGGACGGGUGAGUAACACGUGGAUAACCUACCUAUAAGACUGGGAUAACUUCGGGAAACCGGAGCUAAUACCGGAUGAUAUUUUGAACCGCAUGGCUCAAAAGUGAAAGACGGUCUUGCUGUCACUUAUAGAUGGAUCCGCGCUGCAUUAGCUAGUUGGUAAGGUAACGGCUUACCAAGGCAACGAUGCAUAGCCGACCUGAGAGGGUGAUCGGCCACACUGGAACUGAGACACGGUCCAGACUCCUACGGGAGGCAGCAGUAGGGAAUCUUCCGCAAUGGGCGAAAGCCUGACGGAGCAACGCCGCGUGAGUGAUGAAGGUCUUCGGAUCGUAAAACUCUGUUAUUAGGGAAGAACAUAUGUGUAAGUAACUGUGCACAUCUUGACGGUACCUAAUCAGAAAGCCACGGCUAACUACGUGCCAGCAGCCGCGGUAAUACGUAGGUGGCAAGCGUUAUCCGGAUUUAUGGGGGUUAAGCGCGCGUAGGCGGUUUUUUAAGUCUGAUGUGAAAGCCCACGGCUCAACCGUGGAGGGUCAUUGGAAACUGGAAAACUUGAGUGCAGAAGAGGAAAGUGGAAUUCCAUGUGUAGCGGUGAAAUGCGCAGAGAUAUGGAGGAACACCAGUGGCGAAGGCGACUUUCUGGUCUGUAACUGACGCUGAUGUGCGAAAGCGUGGGGAUCAAACAGGAUUAGAUACCCUGGUAGUCCACGCCGUAAACGAUGAGUGCUAAGUGUUAGGGGGUUUCCGCCCCUUAGUGCUGCAGCUAACGCAUUAAGCACUCCGCCUGGGGAGUACGACCGCAAGGUUGAAACUCAAAGGAAUUGACGGGGACCCGCACAAGCGGUGGAGCAUGUGGUUUAAUUCGAAGCAACGCGAAGAACCUUACCAAAUCUUGACAUCCUUUGACAACUCUAGAGAUAGAGCCUUCCCCUUCGGGGGGGACAAAGUGACAGGUGGUGCAUGGUUGUCGUCAGCUCGUGUCGUGAGAUGUUGGGUUAAGUCCCGCAACGAGCGCAACCCUUAAGCUUAGUUGCCAUCAUUAAGUUGGGCACUCUAAGUUGACUGCCGGUGACAAACCGGAGGAAGGUGGGGAUGACGUCAAAUCAUCAUGCCCCUUAUGAUUUGGGCUACACACGUGCUACAAUGGACAAUACAAAGGGCAGCGAAACCGCGAGGUCAAGCAAAUCCCAUAAAGUUGUUCUCAGUUCGGAUUGUAGUCUGCAACUCGACUACAUGAAGCUGGAAUCGCUGGUAAUCGUAGAUCAGCAUGCUACGGUGAAUACGUUCCCGGGUCU